AGAGUUUGAUCCUGGCUCAGAACGAACGCUGGCGGCGUGCUUAACACAUGCAAGUCGAACGUGAUCAGGCCUUCGGGCCUGUGAAAGUGGCGCACGGGUGAGUAACACGUGGAUAAUCUACCCGAUUGAUCCGGGAUAACAUCUCGAAAGGGGUGCUAAUACCGGAUAAGCCCACGAGCUCUUCGGAGCUUGCGGGAAAAGGGGGGGACCUUAACCGGCCUCCUGUCAUCGGAUGAGUCCGCGGCCCAUUAGCUAGUUGGUAGGGUAAUGGCCCACCAAGGCGACGAUCAGUAGCCGGCCUGAGAGGGUGAUCGGCCACACUGGAACUGAGACACGGUCCAGACUCCUACGGGAGGCAGCAGUGGGGAAUUUUGCGCAAUGGACGAAAGUCUGACGCAGCAACGCCGCGUGGGUGAUGAAGGUCUUCGGACUGUAAAACCCUGUCGUCAGGGACGAAGGUUGAGGGGUUAAUAACCCUUCAGCUUGACGGUACCUGGAGAGGAAGCCCCGGCUAACUCUGUGCCAGCAGCCGCGGUAAUACAGAGGGGGCAAGCGUUAUUCGGAAUUAUUGGGCGUAAAGGGUGCGUAGGCGGUCGUUUAAGUAGGAUGUGUAAUCCCCGGGCUUAACCUGGGAACUGCAUCCUAGACUGGACGACUUGAGUACUGGAGAGGGUGGUAGAAUUCCACGUGUAGCGGUGAAAUGCGUAGAGAUGUGGAGGAAUACCAGUGGCGAAGGCAGCCCCCUGGGUCGAUACUGACGCUCAUGCACGAAAGCGUGGGUAGCAAACAGGAUUAGAUACCCUGGUAGUCC
rnacentral:rRNA from 1 species